UAAGGAAUAUUGGUCAAUGGACGCAAGUCUGAACCAGCCAUGCCGCGUGAAGGAUGAAGGUCCUCUGGAUUGUAAACUUCUUUUAUCUGGGACGAAAACAGGAUUUUUAUCUCAAUUGACGGUACCAGAGGAAUAAGCACCGGCUAACUCCGUGCCAGCAGCCGCGGUAAUACGGAGGGUGCGAGCGUUAUCCGGAUUUACUGGGUUUAAAGGGCGCGUAGGUGGGCUUAUAAGUCAGUGGUGAAAUCUCCGAGCUUAACUUGGAAACUGCCGUUGAUACUAUAGGUCUUGAAUUAUCUGGAGGUAAGCGGAAUAUGUCAUGUAGCGGUGAAAUGCUUAGAUAUGACAUAGAACACCAAUUGCGAAGGCAGCUUACUACAUAUAAAUUGACGCUGAGGCACGAAAGCGUGGGGAUCAAACA
rnacentral:rRNA from 1 species